CUUCAUAUUCUACCUCUAAAAUUCAUCAUCCAUUAUACAAACUAUAAUAUCCUGUAUUUCCUUAAAUACUCAAAUUUCUAUUAAUUGAUAUCAAUUGAGUUCCUAUGUGCUCUAAAAGUUAUCAGUUGGGAUAAAUAUAGUAAAUAGUGAAUUCAGAUUGACUUAAUUAAUAUUAAUUGGGAUUGAUCUUUUAUUAAUUGGGACAUUUUGGUAACACUAAUAAUA
rnacentral:lncRNA from 1 species